rnacentral:snoRNA from 1 species
CCACAUGAUGAGAAAAACCCGAUUAGCUCUAGAUCAAUAGUUGCUUAUGCAGCGAUGAACGAUUUAACAUGUAUUAUCUGAUGG